GGAGUUUGGCAGAGGGGGGUGGAAUUCCACGUGUAGCAGUGAAAUGGAAAGAUGUGGAGGAACACCAAUGGCGAAGGCAGCCCCCUGGGUCGAUACUGACGCUCAUGCACGAAAGCGUGGGUAGCAAACAGGAUUAGAUACCCUGGUAGUCCACGCCCUAAACGAUGUCAACUAGGUGUUGGGAGGGUAAAACCUUUUAGUGCCGUAGCUAACG
rnacentral:rRNA from 1 species